AAUCAUGAUUAAAAUACAUAGUUCAACGUCAAGUCAUUAAUUAAUUAAUACAAAGUCUCUCUAAUUUAUUUUAUGUAGUAUUAAGUAUUUGAGCUAAACUUCAAAAUAUACAGAAAUCCAUAUUUAUACAAGCUUAAUUUUACAAUUCGGUUUUCGGUUUGGAUUGGAUCCAAUUAGGGUCAAUCCGAUCCAAUCCGAAAAUCCGAAUUUCCAAAAAAUCUCAAUCCGAUCCGAUCUGAUUUAAAGUUCGGAUCCGAUCCGAAUUGAUAAUUCGGUUUGGAUUGGAUUGGAUUUCGGUUUUUAUCCGAAUUAUGGACACCCCUACUUGUAAUCCCUGCAGCAAUAUAUGGAAUAUGGGUCCUGCUUCACCAGAACUUUGCUACAGAUCUCUUUGAUUUCCAGAUUGUGCCUUAUGUUGGGAUUAUUUGCUUACAAAGCUGCCGCGCUCGUUCAAGUUUAUAGAGAUAAUGAAGACUUACAAUUCAUCUUUCCAGAUACCGAGGAAAGCUCAGGUGUCUGAAAACUCAUGUCUUGAUUCAAACAUAGAACAGUUUACCUUCCCCAGUUCAGAGAGCUAUUGUUAAUACUGAAACUGAAAUUUUGGUGCUGGAGGCUGGAGCACACUUUUUCUUGGUAAAAAAUUCUAUAUAUGUAUGAGUUGGUUUGAUCUGUAUAUAUUGUAGGAUACUAGGAGGCAUAUGUAGUACAGAGAUCCAACUUUCUGCCUUUGUAGGUACUAUAGCAGGUAAUAAUAUAUUUGUUGUACCCUUUCCGUUCGAGCUA